AACGAACGCUGGCGGCAGGCUUAACACAUGCAAGUCGAGCGAGACCUUCGGGUCUAGCGGCGGACGGGUGAGUAACGCGUGGGGACGUGCCCUUCUCUACGGAAUAGCCCCGGGAAACUGGGAGUAAUACCGAAUACGCCCUUUGGGGGAAAGAUUUAUCGGAGAAGGAUCGGCCCGCGUGUGAUUAGGUAGUUGGUGGGGUAAUGGUCCACCAAGCCGACGAUCCAUAGGUGGUUUGAGAGGAUGAUCAGCCACACUGGGACUGAGACACGGCCCAGACUCCUACGGGAGGCAGCAGUGGGGAAUCUUAGACAGUGGGGGCAACCCUGAUCUAGCCAUGCCGCGUGAGUGAUGAAGGCCUUAGGGUUGUAAAGCUCUUUCAGCUGGGAAGAUAAUGACGGUACCAGCAGAAGAAGCCCCGGCUAACUCCGUG
rnacentral:rRNA from 1 species